AUGCUUGGGAACAUGCCUUGAGGUGGGGGACAACAGCUGGAAACGACUGCUAAUACCGCAUAAUGUCUACGGACCAAAGGGGGCUUCGGCUCUCGCCUUUAGAUUGGCCCAAGUGGGAUUAGCUAGUUGGUGAGGUAAUGGCUCACCAAGGCGACGAUCCCUAGCUGGUUUGAGAGGAUGAUCAGCCACACUGGGACUGAGACACGGCCCAGACUCCUACGGGAGGCAGCAGUGGGGAAUAUUGCACAAUGGGCGCAAGCCUGAUGCAGCCAUGCCGCGUGUGUGAAGAAGGCCUUCGGGUUGUAAAGCACUUUCAGUCAGGAGGAAAGGUUAACGGUUAAUACCCGUUAGCUGUGACGUUACUGACAGAAGAAGCACCGGCUAACUCCGUGCCAGCAGCCGCGGUAAUACGGAGGGUGCGAGCGUUAAUCGGAAUUACUGGGCGUAAAGCGUACGCAGGCGGUUUGUUAAGCGAGAUGUGAAAGCCCCGGGCUCAACCUGGGAACUGCAUUUCGAACUGGCAAACUAGAGUGUGAUAGAGGGUGGUAGAAUUUCAGGUGUAGCGGUGAAAUGCGUAGAGAUCUGAAGGAAUACCGAUGGCGAAGGCAGCCACCUGGGUCAACACUGACGCUCAUGUACGAAAGCGUGGGGAGCAAACGGGAUUAGAUACCCCGGUAGUCCACGCCGUAAACGAUGUCUACUAGAAGCUCGGAGCCUCGGUUCUGUUUUUCAAAGCUAACGCAUUAAGUAGACCGCCUGGGGAGUACGGCCGCAAGGUUAAAACUCAAAUGAAUUGACGGGGGCCCGCACAAGCGGUGGAGCAUGUGGUUUAAU
rnacentral:rRNA from 1 species